rnacentral:rRNA from 1 species
AGUGGAUGGGGAGCAACCUAGUUGUGCGUGUGUAAAGGUAGUGCCAAGAAAAGCGAUGAUCAUGUUGAAAAUCAAUUCCCGGUACCCGAAACCGACACAGGUGGGCAAGUAGAGAAUACUAAGGGGCGCGAGGUAACUCUCUCCAAGGAACUCGGCAAAAUGACCCCGUAACUUAGGGAGAAGGGGUGCCACCGAGAGGUGGUCGCAGUGAAGAGGCCCAGGCGACUGUUUAGCAAAAACAUAGGUCUCUGCAAACUCGAAAGAGGAGGUAUAGGGGCUGACGCCUGCCCAGUGCCGGAAGGUUAAAGAAGUUGGUCAGUUUUAGGAUGAAGCUAGCGACUGAAGCCCCGGUGAACGGCGGCCGUAACUAUAACGGUCCUAAGGUAGCGAAAUUCCUUGUCGGGUAAGUUCCGACCCGCACGAAAGGCGUAACGAUCUGGGCGCUGUCUCGGAGAGAGGCUCGGCGAAAUAGGAUUGUCUGUGAAGAUACGGACUACCUGCAUUUGGACAGAAAGACCCUAUGAAGCCUUACUAUAGCUUGGAAUUGUGUUCGGGCUUCCUGUGCGCAGGAUAGGUGGGAGGCGUAGAAGGUAUUCUUGUGGGGAUACUGGAGCCAACGGUGAGAUACCACUCUCAGGAGGCUAGAAUUCUAACUUAAUUAAGGACAGUUUCAGGUGGGUAGUUUGACUGGGGCGGUCGCCUCCAAAAAGGUAACGGAGGCGUACAAAGGUUCCCUCAGACUGGUUGGAAAUCAGUCGAAGAGUGCAAAGGCAGAAGGGAGCUUGGCUGCGAGAAGUACAGUUCGAGCAGGGUGGAAACACGGUCUUAGUGAUCCGACGGUGCUGUGUGGAAGGGCCGUCGCUCAACGGAUAAAAGUUACUCUAAGGAUAACAGGCUGAUCUCCCCCAAGAGUUCACAUCGACGGGGAGGUUUGGCACCUCGAUGUCGGCUCAUCGCAACCUGGGGCGGAAGUACGUCCCAAGGGUUGGGCUGUUCGCCCAUUAAAGCGGUACGUGAGCUGGGUUCAGAACGUCGUGAGACAGUUCGGUCCAUAUCCGAUGUAGGCGUGAGAAUAUUGAGAGGAGCCUUCCUUAGUACGAGGGGACCGGGAAGGACGCACCGCUGGUGUACCUGUUAUGAUGCCAGUUGUAAACGCAGGGUAGCCAAGUGCGGAGAGGAUAACCGCUGAAAGCAUCUAAGUGGGAAGCCCACCUCAAGAUGAGUAUUCUGGUGUAAGGUCACGGGAAGACGACCCGUAAAUAGGCACGAGGUGGAAGUGCAGAGAUGUAUGAAGCCGAAGUGUACUAGUAGACCGUCGGCUUGACCA